rnacentral:rRNA from 1 species
AGAGCGAACGCUGGCGGCAGGCUUAACACAUGCAAGUCGAACGGAUCCUUCGGGAUUAGUGGCGGACGGGUGAGUAACACGUGGGAACGUGCCUUUAGGUUCGGAACAACACAGGGAAACUUGUGCUAAUACCGGAUGUGCCCUUCGGGGGAAAGAUUUAUCGCCUUUAGAGCGGCCCGCGUCUGAUUAGCUUGUUGGUGAGGUAAAGGCUCACCAAGGCUACGAUCAGUAGCUGGUCUGAGAGGAUGGCCAGCCACAUUGGGACUGAGACACGGCCCAAACUCCUACGGGAGGCAGCAGUGGGGAAUCUUGCGCAAUGGGGGAAACCCUGACGCAGCCAUGCCGCGUGGAUGAUGAAGGUCUUAGGAUUGGUAAAAUCCUUUCAGCGGGGACGAUAAUGACGGUACCCGCAGAAGAAGCCUCGGCUAACUUCGUGCCAGCAGCCGC